AAUAGAGCUUGGGAACCUGUUAGAAGGAGUCAAAUCUUACCAACUCUUCAAUAUGCAAUAUGGCUGGCUCACAACUAAUCCAAAGGAUGAGGAAACAGAAGGCAGAGCAACUUUAAGUUCUUUGCAUAAGGACACAACUAGCAUGAGGCUGAAGAACAAGCUGGAAUCUCAGAUUCCCCAGCGCUGCCUUGUGGUUUCUCAAAACAACUACUGAAGAAUUCUAAAAUGCCUCGUGAUAUGCUUACUGUUGGGAAAGACAGUUGACUGAUUGAGAUUUUGAAGACACACAUCAUCCAGCAUCUCACCAGGAUUUGGCAGGUUUCCCAAAUGAGACUGGCUUUUGUGAGGUUCUUCUAGGGUAGGAGAUGAGAUGCCGUCCCCCAGGGAAGAUGGGCCUGCAGAGAAGGUGGCAAGUGGAUUCAGCAUGUCAGUGGAGAAAAGGACCAUCAGAAGUUGCUGUCCCUAACUAAAAAUAAGGUCAUAAACUUAAGCGAGACAGUGCACCUUCACCCCAGGUUCAACAUGGCAGAGUUACAGGAUCAUGGAUGAUUUCACUGACAAUCCCUCCCCGGGAGGGAGGGAGUCCAGGAAGGAGAUAUGUGUGAGCAAAUACCACCUUGCUAUGGACCAAAAUUGCUUCAAAAGAUGUA
rnacentral:lncRNA from 1 species